rnacentral:rRNA from 1 species
UACGUAGGGUGCGAGCGUUAAUCGGAAUUACUGGGCGUAAAGCGUACGCAGGCGGCUAUGCAAGACAGAUGUGAAAUCCCCGGGCUUAACCUGGGAACUGCAUUUGUGACUGCAUGGCUAGAGUCCGUAAGAGGGGGGUGGAAUUCCACGUGUAGCAGUGAAAUGCGUAGAGGUGUGGAGGAACACCGAUGGCGAAGGCAGCCCCCUGGGAUGAGACUGACGCUCAUGUACGAAAGCGUGGGGAGCAAACAGG